GAUUAACGCUAGCGGCAGGCCUAAUACAUGCAAGUCGAACGCCCGUAGCAAUACGGGAGUGGCGGACGGGUGAGUAACGCGUGGGAACGUACCCUGAGGUACGGAAUAACCGAGGGAAACUUCGGCUAAUACCGUAUGAGCCCCGCAAGGGGAAAGGAUUUAUCGCCUUGGGAGCGGCCCGCGUCGGAUUAGCUAGUUGGUGGGGUAACGGCCUACCAAGCCUACGAUCAGUAACUGGUGUGAGAGCACGACCAGUCACACGGGCACUGAGACACGGGCCCGACUCCUACGGGAGGCAGCAGUGGGGAAUCUUGGACAAUGGGCGCAAGCCUGAUCCAGCCAUGCCGCGUGAGUGAAGAAGGCCUUAGGGUUGUAAAGCUCUUUUGGUCAGGGACGAUAAUGACGGUACCUGCAGAAUAAGCCCCGGCAAACUUACGUGCCAGCAGCCGCGGUAAGUCUCGCGUGA
rnacentral:rRNA from 1 species